AACUAAUGUUCUUCCCUUCGUUCUUUGACGCCAAAUGGAAUCUCUUACCGUUUCAGAGAUACAGUGACUGGCACAAAAAAAGAUCCACCAUAUAGUGGUUUCAGUUUGUAAUGAAAACUACAUGCAGAAAUGAUAAAAUACAUCUUUCAAUGAAUGCACUACAUCCAUUUUACAUUGUUUCAGUAAUCUGUGUUGAAAAAUAUUUGGUUCUUGAAGAAUAAAGUGAACUCAGAUAAGAUUGGAAAAAUUGCUUAAAAAUUGGGUAUGACAGAAAAAAAGAUCCACCUAGCAAUUAAUUCUGAAACUUCAAAAUUUCACCAAAUUUUUAAACGUUUUGCUUCUUGGUGUAUGUAGUUGUGAUGUUUUUGAUAUAUAAAAUUUAUUUUGACAUGAGUUUUAUCAAUUUUAAGGUGAUAUGGGGCGAGUUUAUUUUUCAUGGUUAAUAUAAUUGGUAAAAUUUUCCCUAAACUCCAGAAACUAUCGGUAAGCAAGAAUGAACGCUAUUAAUCUAUGGUUUGGUCGACUAAUGCAAAGAAAUGCACAUGUUGUGAAGAUUAUCAAGGAUUAGGAAAAGCUUUCACUCGAAUAGUUUGGGUCGUUUAUGUUGUAGUUUGACAUUUGCAUAAUACCACCAUGUAGUUCAUGAUUGACCAAACAUUGUUUAAUAGAUUCAAGUUUUUUUUUACCAAACUUUUAAUAGGUAAAAAUACUUAAGCCUACGACAAUCAUCGGUAAUUUGUCAUGAUAGUUCUCGAAACUGAUGAAGUCUUUUUGACAACAAACCGUUAGUUAGGAAAAAGUGAUAAAUUGAUCUUACAUUUCGGUGUUCUUUUUUUAAUAAUAAAAGUCAAAGCUUACUUUAACGCUAAUGAUCGAUCCUCGAGUGUAUCGGGUUGCCUCAACUGUUGUCAACUCAGUAGCUCUAUACCGAGCUCGGUAUUAAUCUUUGUGCGACCAUUGCUAAACAUUAUUAUCGUCACUGUUGGAAUUGUGUCGCUUCUUAGAACAGGAUAAGCUUGGUUUAAAUCAACAACGUUUUGUUAAGAAUUUGUAGGCAUGAUAAACUCUUGGAUUUGAUUUGUUGCCCGUACUAUUUAGUACAUGUUUGUUCCUUUUAUCUUGUAUGGUAUAUAUCUUUUAAAGUUCUGUUAAGUUUUAAAUAAGUGUUUCUUCUAAAGCACAUUAUACAAACACAUUAUGCACAGAUCAUGCUACUAAAUAUUGAGUGGAAAGUGAUCUCUUUAUGGUGUAUAGAAGAAUCCGCAUACCAAUGAAAUUUAAGCAACUAAAACACUAUAAAAAUAAAACAAAGCUCUAGAUGUGUAAAGAGACCUUAUAGUCCAUCCACUCAUCUCUAACGGUUUGCAUAUGAUUGCUUUGAUUGAAAUGGAACACAUUGGUGUCAAAGUAACGUUGCAAUUAGCGUGUGUCAUUGGCUCGUUGCAAAGACAAUAUGUUGAAACUAGUGAACGGCCGCUGUUGUAGAUAGCUUCCUAUGAAAAUAUAGCGACUGGCCGAUGAUUUGUCGGCUAUAUCUCCAAAACGGUAAGAGAUUCCAUUUUGGCGUCAAAGAUCGAAGGGAAGAACAUUAGUUUUUGCGCUUAGAAAUUUUUUGUUAAAAAUAAUCUAUGAUACAGACGGUACUUUUAUCAGCAUUUUAUACGUUUUUUCUCUAUGGUAAAAAAAUUUCUGAGAAUUUUUUUCUCAGUGUAUUUUUAUUGGAUUGCUGAGGUAAUUUGGCGUUGAUUUCACUAAAUUGUUCUACGAUGGAUAGUUUUUGAGAUAUGAUUUUUUGAAGUUUGGGAUGUUUUACAAAAUUUUGAAAAAUUGUGAAAUUUUAUCUAGCGCUUUCCGGAAAAGUAGUCCACUAUGAUUUUUAUGAAUUUUAUAUAUGAUCAUAAAUCCGCGACCUCUAGCACUGGUGAAAUUUUCAUUGAAAUCGGAGACCCUUCGGCCCAAACCUGUUCGGUAAUAAAAAAAAUCCCUAUGUUACAAAACGAAAAAAACCUUCCAAGUCAAAUGGGCUUAAAAGGUUUUUGUAGCCAUAAUAAAACCAUAAAAGGAUUAAAGUUUUAUGACGGCUCCUCUUCAAAACAAAUUAUACAUCAAAUUAUUGUUUUUGAAAAAAAAAAAUAUUUGUGUUUUUCUUGCACCAGAUGGAUUUAUUUAAUAUAGUAAAAAUAAUCAAAAAACCUGCUCCAACUCAGUCCUAAUUUCCCUAUAGUGUGAGUGUCCAACCUGGGUCACAACGGUUCUGUCAUUCAGGAAUUCCAACCAGUUACCCUCGCUCCACCUGCUUCCCCAGUAAUCGAGACUACGAUGAUUAUAAUGUUAAUGAACACAAUUUAAUUGUCAUCAGUUUUAUUUAUGUCACCCGGUGAGACAUUAGCCGACCGACGGCGGCAGUCAGUAUUUAGUAGCAGUCAGUUGGUCAGUCGGUCGGUCGUCGGUAGGUCUCCGUCGUUUACAUUGUGGGGCUGGUGGUGAUGCUAAUAAUAGUGGAAGUGGUACACUUGGACGAAAUGAAUCGCGAUUUAAUUGAAUUCUAAUUAUGGCUCAGCUGGUGUGCGGUUCCGGUUUUCCCGUCACCCCAGAAGCUUGGCAACCAACUGCUGGUGGGCACCACUUUUGCGCUGCUGUUGUUGCAACUGUGUUGCGGUGUUGUAAUUCCAUUUCCGAAACAAAACUUCUAUUCGAGAUUUAGUGCAAUUGCAAUUAAUUCAUUUGCAAAACGAGCAGCUAAUGAGAGCUUCCGGGAGUUUUAGGAGGUUUGCAGCAUUUUUCAUUAUCAUUACUGUUUUUAAUAAUUCGUGGCCGUGCGGUAAGCGGCGUCAGCCAUCUAGGCGUUUCGUAAGCCUCGGAGUGCGGGUUCGAUUCCCGCUCCGGUCGGGGAAAACUUUUCGUCAAACGAUAAAUUCUCCAUUGGGCCACUGGGUGUUAUAUGUGUUGUCCGUUGUCUCGUGUUAGUAAUGUUCAAUCUGUGCAGCCUCUGGCUGAAGACGGUGUAGUGUCUUUUAAUCCGUAUAGAUGUUUAAAUGAAAUUGCUGAACUUUCAAACAGAAUCCCUUGAAAAGCAGAUCGCAUGAGAUUCCAUCGGUGUAACAUAAAUUUCAAAACAAUCUGAACAGCUACCUUUUAAAAUGAAUUUCUAGAAACAGUGGUGGAAAUUGGAAGCAAUUCUUGAGAGUUGUUACGUUUAGUUUUGAGGAGAUAAGGAAUGUUAGUCAUUACUAUUAUAAUAAGCACCAUGUAACGCAGCAAAUGAAAAAUAGAAGUCGAAAUGCACCACCCUAAAGUACACCCCUGGCGAAAAGGCCUUUUCUGUCGCAUACGCACACACCGUUGCGCAUAAAUCAUCCGCCUUCGGCACGGCACGCACACGGGCGAAGGAUACACCACAAAACGCUGCUAGUACGAACGUUCUGGUACAAAGAAAGAAACGCUUCCAACUGCCAGCUUCAGUCGACUCUAUUUACACACACAAACCUCCCGCAAUCGUGAAUCGUCGCCGCUUUCGGAACGCCGAGACAAAAAUCGUUUGGCCGGCAAGUGAAGCAGCCGUCAUUGUUCUGCUGCGACGGAGGAAACCAACGCGAGUUCUAUUUUGAUAAAAAGUCAAGAAUUUUGCAUCCGAAUCAACCGGGAACGCAGUGUCCGGCACGGCAGUGGUUUUCUAUUCCGGUCGCGUCCAGUGCACAAAGCUUAAGCGGAUUGCCUCAUAGAUCGAAGCACGUCGCAAUCCCCGGAUAAACACAUUGGAGUGGAAAAGUAAAGAACGAUUUGCCACCCGUUUGGAGAAAUAUCCGGCAUUGAACGAUUGAAUCCCGUUGCUCGUCAUAGUGGAUAAGCGGCACUCGUCAGUGAGCAAAGGAGGUGCCAAACUAGAAGGAUCGUUAUUCCCCGAGCAUCGAAGAAUCAUCUUGGAGGAAAGAGUCAUUCCCAACCGAUCGAAUUCCAUCCCAUUCCGCGAGCGAACCGCUUCCGGCAAACAAAGGUGGACACUUGUCCGUGAAAGAAGAGGAUCAGCAGGCCCCAUUCAAGGGGCCUCUUUUUCGGACUUCAAGUUGUGCAUCUACUGAUCGGACGAAGCGGGCUGAACCGGAUCACUUCGGCACUCGGAGAGUUGUCGGCGCGAGUCAACGGAAGUGAACAUCCCAGUCGUGUAUGGGGAAGUCAACGGUGAAAGCCGGACGUUUGCGAGGAAUCCCCUGCGGAAGGUGCGGCACCCAACGAAGCGACUUCGACCGGCGCGUGACGAAGACGUGUGCGUGAAACGUGAGCGCCCGGGUACCGAUCCAGACUCGAGUCAGCAGCGAGAAGAGCCCGACGUCUGAGAUUCCCGCCGGAAGGAUGUGUGAUGCGUCUGAAAAGCGGUCUGGUGGAUGCAAGAUGUCGCAGGUCAGGUAGCUACCUAUAGGACGGGCCCGUGAGUAGAGAGAAAACUAUAGCUUGUAAGAAUAUGAUCUAGUUAGGCCACGAUCCAGAAAGGGGGCUGUAGGAGCUAGGAAUGUGGGAGGAAGCUCUUUUGGGAUAAUAAAAUCUAGUAAAAUGUAUGAUUUGUGAGUUGGUGCUUUAGGCCUUGAAGUGUUUGUGCCCGAAAUAUCCAUGCUGUUCGGUAGUCCUGCUCUACCAGGCCGGGAACCUGCAACAGAGUAUAACAAUUUCGAUAAAAUGUAUUUUGACAAUCAAUGCAACUUGUAUACGGUCGAAUUUUUGAAGUAAUUUUGGACAUAUUCCGAAAUCAAAAUUAAGACGAAGAAAUUUAAAAUUAUCAGAGAAAAAUAUUAAGAAAUCGUGGACGAUUUGUUUUUUUUUUCUUCUCUUUAGAAUUCUCGAAGAAAAUGUUUAACAGAAGUCCAUAAAUAUCUUGAUGGGCUACAAGAUAACUUUUAGCUCCAUAAACCUUCGUAUAAAAAUAUCUGAAAAAUGCAUAGAACUUUCUUAACAAUUCGACUUUAUUGUUAAUAUUUUCUAAUUAUUUCAUUCUAUUCAUUUCAAUUCAAUUAGAAGUCUUGAAAAAAAAACUUAGUAUAAAGUGUAUCAAACAAUUGUCAGUACAGUGAUUUUUUCGUCAAAAUUAGAGCCAUUACUAAUUUAACGUUCCCGAAUUAAAUCUAUUCGAAAACAAACGGUUACGGCACUGUUCUUUUUUCACUCAUGCUUGCUCAUUUCUGAUAAAAAAAAUACUAAAAUAAGAAACGAAACAAGUAGCGUUACAUUGCUUUGUUAUAAGUAGGAUAAAAAAGGAAGAGUUUAUGGUUAAUAAGGGAACUGGCAAAAUUUUCAUUUUCCAAAAAAUGGUCAACUAGCUCUAGCUUUUCGAAAAUCGCAAUAAAAAUUCUCAAAUUUUCAAUGUUAGUUGAUCAACUAGUGGUCUAAUGAUUCUAAUUAAGGAAAGAUAUGGCUAUUCUAUAUGAGGUUAGAAAAAUUCAAGAAAAAAAACAUGUCAACUUUAAACUGCUUUAUCUCCGGAUUCAAAUAACGGAAUACAGUGAAAUUUUGAACGUUUCUGACUUAUAUAAUGGCCUUUGAAAAACAUUUGACAGAACUUUUUUUAUAAUCAAAAAAAAUAUGUAAGUCAUGAUUGCUCAAAAUUUCAUUGAAUCUGGAGAUAUAACAGUUCAAAGCUGGCUAUCAGAUAAUUAAGCUUUUUAUUAAAAUCUUCGCAUAAAAUGGGUCGAUGUUUGCUAAAUUUGGACCAUUGAUAGAUAACUAGUCACAGUGAAAAUUUCAUAUUUUUUGAUACUAUUUUCAAAAAGUAGCAGCUAGUUGGCCAUUUCUUAAAAAACGACAAUUUCACCUGCCCUGAUCAUUUUGUAAUGGAACUUUUAAUAAAUCGUGACUGUUUAUUCAACAAACUUUCAAUCUUCUAUAUUUCUUUGAAAAGUGGAUGAAAUAUUUACAAAAGUUUUUAAAAAUAAUAAAGCAUUAAAUCUGAACAAUAUUAAAUACUCAUCGGAUUUUUUAAAGAAUUUUUAGCAAGACCUGAUAUUUUGAAAAAUAUUUUUUAUCUGUACCCUCAAAAUGCAUAAUCAAGCUAAAUUUUUUUGAAAGGGGGGGGGGGGAAGACAAGAAGUCAAAAUGAAAUGUGUUUACGCCUAAGUUAAAUUUAAAAAUACAUAAAUAAAUUGCACUGGGAUUAGAGCUAAGCAAUUUAAACGAAAGGACUUCAUUUCCGGAAUUAUUUUCAGAAUUUGUGGAGCUUACGAUAUAAGAAUAAGUUUGUUGACUUCAAGAUGGAGUUUCUGCUUUUUUAUUAGGACGAUGCUACGUUUUUUUGUCUCGUUCAUGCCCGAGACCUCUCAUUGAAUACGAGGGAGGAGGAAAUUAAAAAUGAAUAAAAUAUUACCAUUAAAAAGUUAAAAUGAUAAUCGCCAUUAAAAAAUAGGUUCAACUACUAAAAAAAAUUGAUGAUU